rnacentral:rRNA from 1 species
UGGGCAAGUCUGGUGCCAGCAGCCGCGGUAAUUCCAGCUCUCAUAAUAUAUAGAAUUAUUGUUGCGGUUAAAAAGUUCGUAGUUGAAUUUCAUACCGUUUGCGGGUCGUGUUUAACGACGCGUACUCGCGACGGUGUUUCCACAAAGGUGGCUUGCUGCCUUUAUGGGGAUUACUUUGAACGGCUUAAGUGCUCAAGGCGAGUCUUCGGACUGAAUACCGGUGCAUGGAAUAAUGGAACAAGGUUUCGGCUGAGUUUUAUUGGUUUUGUCGGCUGAGACAAUGGUUAACAGGAACAGCUGGGGGCACUCGUAUCCCGGCGCGAGAGGUGAAAUUCGUGGACCGUCGGGAGACGCCCAAAAGCGAAGGCAUUUGCCAAGAGUGUUUUCAUUAAUCAAGAACGAAAGUCAGAGGUUCGAAGGCGAUUAGAUACCGCCCUAGUUCUGACCGUAAACGAUGCCAACUAUCAAUCCGCCAGUAGCUUCCAGUUAUUGGCGGGCGGAUCGACGGAAACGAAAGUUUUUCGGUUCCGGGGGAAGUAUGGUUGCAAAGCUGAAACUUAAAGGAAUUGACGGAAGGGCACCACCAGGAGUGGAGCUUGCGGCUUAAUUUGACUCAACACGGGAAACCUCACCCGGCCAGUACAUCAUAAGGAUUGACAGAUUGAAAGCUCUUUCAUGAUUUGAUGAAUGGUGGUGCAUGGCCGUUCUUAGUUCGUGGUGUGAAUCGUCUGCUUAAUUGCGAUAACGAGCGAGACUUUAACUGUUAAAUAGCACUUGGAUCUUUUUGUCCUUGANGCUUCUUAACUGNAUUCNCGGCUUCAAGUCGCAAGAAAUGAAGCAAUAACAGGUCUGUGAUGCCCUUANAUGUCCAGGGGCCGC